rnacentral:piRNA from 1 species
UAAUAACACCGAUCUUUUGAU